rnacentral:rRNA from 1 species
GGGUUGUGAGGUUAAGCGACUAAGCGUACACGGUGGAUGCCCUGGCAGUCAGAGGCGAUGAAGGACGUGCUAAUCUGCGAUAAGCGCCGGUAAGGUGAUAUGAACCGUUAUAACCGGCGAUUUCCGAAUGGGGAAACCCAGUGUGAUUCGUCACACUAUCAUUAACUGAAUCCAUAGGUUAAUGAGGCGAACCGGGGGAACUGAAACAUCUAAGUACCCCGAGGAAAAGAAAUCAACCGAGAUUCCCCCAGUAGCGGCGAGCGAACGGGGAGGAGCCCAGAGCCUGAAUCAGCAUGUGUGUUAGUGGAAGCGUCUGGAAAGGCGCGCGAUACAGGGUGACAGCCCCGUACACAAAAGCGCAUGUGCUGUGAGCUCGAUGAGUAGGGCGGGACACGUGGUAUCCUGUCUGAAUAUGGGGGGACCAUCCUCCAAGGCUAAAUACUCCUGACUGACCGAUAGUGAACCAGUACCGUGAGGGAAAGG